GGUUCGUGUGCUUGGGGACAGUCCUUCAGCUCAAACCUUGCCUUCACUCAGAGUGUAAAACGUCUCUCCCUGGAUUCUUAUCUACUGCACCGCAAAUCUUCAGGUCUCUUCGCUUUUUAAAAUUCACGCACAUCCAACAAAGGCCUGAGAGAGCUCCGGUUUGUUCCGCAGCCUGCAAGAGCGUUUCUUGGCGUAGCCCUGGCAUUCUUGAUUCCUGGCCUUUGCCUCCUGACACUGAAGAAAUUUCUUAGCAGACAAAUGUCUCUGAUGGUGUGUGAGAGGUUAAGUCUCUGCUACCUGCGGACUGAGCCAAUUCAAGCCAGAUUAUAUUAUACUAAAGGAGUCCAUUUGUGUUGAAGUUUGGGCCAAGGAUGUGGGGCCGUAAAGCCUUGAGCAGCGACACAGCAAGCAUAAAGGACUAAGGAAGAUGGACGCCUAAUACUUUCAGUCUAGGGGGCCAAUGACCUGGCUCUGGAACCACCAGCAGAAAGGUUCACCCCUGGAUAGUUAGAAUACUUACCCUUUUAAUGAGAUGCUGUGCCUUCCCUUCCCAGAACUCCCACACCCCUGCAGGUUUGCAGGGCUGCACUCAGCCACAAGUGCUUUUCUUUUAGGAUCUUAGGGGGAAAAAAUGUAACUUUUCCUUUGUUC
rnacentral:lncRNA from 1 species